rnacentral:rRNA from 1 species
GCGAGGGCCACACCCGUUCCCAUCCCGAACACGGCCGUUAAGCCUCGCAGCGCGGAUGGUACUGCCGGGGAGACCCGGUGGGAGAGUACGCCGCCGCCAGCC